rnacentral:rRNA from 1 species
CCUACGGGAGGCAGCAGUGGGGAAUAUUGCACAAUGGGGGGAACCCUGAUGCAGCAACGCCGCGUGGGUGAAGAAGUACUCCGGUAUGUAAAGCCCUGUCAGCAGGGAAGAAAAUGACGGUACCUGACCAAGAAGCCCCCGCUAACUACGUGCCAGCAGCCGCGGUAAUACGUAGGGGGCAAGCGUUAUCCGGAUUUACUGGGUGGAAAGGGAGCGUAGGCGGCAAGGCAAGUCUGGAGUGAAAGCCCGUGGCGCAACCACGGGACUGCUUUGGAAACUGUGUUGCUGGAGUGCAGGAGGGGUAAGCGGAAUUCCUAGUGUAGCGGUGAAAUGCGUAGAUAUUAGGAGGAACACCGGUGGCGAAGGCGGCUUACUGGACUGUAACUGACGCUGAGGCUCGAAGGCGUGGGGAGCAAACAGGAUUAGAUACCCCUGUAGUC